rnacentral:tRNA from 1 species
GUGUAUGCUCAAUGGUUAGAGCAUCAAUCAUGAAUGCUGAGUAUGUGAGUUUGAAUCUUGCAGUACACA